AGUCAGAGGGGUGCUGGGCAGGGGUGUGUGUGGGGGGGUCUCUGGGUGGUGUGGCACUGGGCAUAGGGAGUCAGAGGGGUGCUGGGCAGGGGUGUGUGUGGGGGGGUCUCUGGGUGGUGUGGCACUGGGCGUAGGGAGUCAGAGGGGUGCUGGGCAGGGUGUGGGGGGGUCUCUGGAUGGUGUGGCACUGGGCAUAGGGAGUCAGAGGGGUGCUGGGCAGGAGUGUGUGGAGGGGUCUCUGGGUGGUGUGGCACUGGGCGUAGGGAGUCAGAGGGGUGCUGGGCAGGAGUGUGUGGAGGGGUCUCUGGGUGGUGUGGCACUGGGUGUAGGGAGCCAGAGGGGUGCUGGGCAGGAGUGUGGGGGGGUCUCUGGGUGGUGUGGUACUGGGCGUAG